rnacentral:rRNA from 1 species
GUGAGGAAUAUUGGUCAAUGGACGAGAGUCUGAACCAGCCAAGUCGCGUGAAGGAAGACGGUUCUAUGAAUUGUAAACUUCUUUUGUGCAGGAAUAAAGUGGGUUACGUGUAACCUUUUGUAUGUACUGUACGAAUAAGGAUCGGCUAACUCCGUGCCAGCAGCCGCGGUAAUACGGAGGAUCCGAGCGUUAUCCGGAUUUAUUGGGUUUAAAGGGUGCGUAGGUGGAUUGAUAAGUCAGCGGUGAAAGUUUGCAGCUUAACUGUAAAAUUGCCGUUGAAACUGUCGGUCUUGAGUGCAAAUGAGGUGGGCGGAAUGUGUUGAGUAGCGGUGAAAUGCUUAGAUAUAACACAGAACUCCGAUUGCGAAGGCAGCUUACUGGGAUGCAACUGACACUGAUGCACGAAAGCGUGGGUAUCAAACAGGAUUAGAAACCCGUGUAGUCC